rnacentral:rRNA from 1 species
CAACGUGGGUAACCUGCCCAAGAGACUGGGAUAACACCUGGAAACAGAUGCUAAUACCGGAUAACAACACUAGACGCAUGUCUAGAGUUUAAAAGAUGGUUCUGCUAUCACUCUUGGAUGGACCUGCGGUGCAUUAGCUAGUUGGUAAGGUAACGGCUUACCAAGCAAUGAUGCAUAGCCGAGUUGAGAGACUGAUCGGCCACAUUGGGACUGAGACACGGCCCAAACUCCUACGGGAGGCAGCAG